rnacentral:tRNA from 1 species
GCCCAGCUAGCUCAGUUGGUAGCAUGUGGGACUCUUGAUCUCAGGAUCAUGGGUUUGAGCCCCAUGCUGGGUG